GUGGUCAUACAGCUUGCACAUACAUUAAACUUAGAACAAUACACAGAAGACUAACAUGGCUCCUGGGCCAGGAUGACAUGCAAAUUUGUAAACCAUUCCAUAUUUUU